rnacentral:tRNA from 1 species
GCUCGUGUAGCUCAGUGGUUAGAGCUUCGUGCUUAUAGUGGCAUCCCGAUUCUGGGAGCUUUUCUGUACAAAGUGAUCUUUCAAACAGAUCGUUUAAAAGCAACGCGACCGUCGUGGGUUCAAUCCCCACCUCGAGCA